AGAUUGAACGCUGGCGGCAUGCCUAACACAUGCAAGUCGAACGGUAACGCGGGGGCAACCCUGGCGACGAGUGGCGGACGGGUGAGUAAUACGUAGGAAUCUACCCUGUAGUGGGGGAUAACCCGGCGAAAGCCGGGCUAAUACCGCAUACGCUCUACGGAGGAAAGCGGGGGAUCGCAAGACCUCGCGCUAAAGGAUGAGCCUACGUCGGAUUAGCUAGUUGGUAGGGUAACGGCCUACCAAGGCGACGAUCCGUAGCUGGUCUGAGAGGACGAUCAGCCACACUGGGACUGAGACACGGCCCAGACUCCUACGGGAGGCAGCAGUGGGGAAUAUUGGACAAUGGGGGCAACCCUGAUCCAGCAAUGCCGCGUGUGUGAAGAAGGCCUGCGGGUUGUAAAGCCCUUUCGGCGGGGAAGAUAAUGACGGUACCCGCAGAAGAAGCCCCGGCUAACUUCGUGCCAGCAGCCGC
rnacentral:rRNA from 1 species